rnacentral:rRNA from 1 species
CAGCCGCCGCGCGGUAAUACGAAGGGGGCUAGCGUUGUUCGGAAUUACUGGGCGUAAAGCGCACGUAGGCGGAUAUUUAAGUCAGGGGUGAAAUCCCGCAGCUCAACUGCGGAACUGCCUUUGAUACUGGGUAUCUUGAGUAUGGAAGAGGUUAGUGGAAUUGCGAGUGUAGAGGUGAAAUUCGUAGAUAUUCGCAGGAACACCAGUGGCGAAGGCGGCUAACUGGUCCAUAACUGACGCUGAGGUGCGAAAGCGUGGGGAGCAAACAGGAUUAGAUACCCGUGUAGUCCCUGUCUCUUAU